rnacentral:rRNA from 1 species
AAACUCAAAGGAAUUGACGGGGCCCGCACAAGCGGCGGAGCAUGUGGAUUAAUUCGAUGCAACGCGAAGAACCUUACCUGGGCUUGACAUACACCAGAUCGGCGCAGAGAUGCGUUUUUCCCUUGUGGUUGGUGUACAGGUGGUGCAUGGUUGUCGUCAGCUCGUGUCGUGAGAUGUUGGGUUAAGUCCCGCAACGAGCGCAACCCUUGUCUUAUGUUGCCAGCACGUGAUGGUGGGGACUCAUGAGAGACUGCCGGGGUUAACUCGGAGGAAGGUGGGGAUGACGUCAAAUCAUCAUGCCCCUUAUGUCCAGGGCUUCACACAUGCUACAAUGGUCGGUACAACGCGUGUGCGACACUGUGAGGUGAAGCUAAUCGCUCUAAAGCCGGUCGUAGUUCGGAUUGGGGUCUGCAACUCGACCCCAUGAAGUCGGAGUCGCUAGUAAUCGCAGAUCAGCAACGCUGCGGUGAAUACGUUCCCGGGCCUU